rnacentral:lncRNA from 1 species
CUUUGAGCCAAUCAAACAGGAUCCGAUUAUGAUAUUUAAGACGACGCCACGAGUAGGCCGGCUCUGGUCUGCUUCUGGGAAUUGGUCCCUAGCCAAAUCUGCCUGAGCUAGGAUCCUGGGAGUCUCUACUUUGUUUUAAUAGGACCAGGGCUGAGUACAGUGCUUACAAGCUAAUUGGUUAUGUCUCAGCAGACCAAGGAUUCUAGUCCUGUAUCCUGUCCACAUAGUGGACACAUACAAAAAUAUGUGAUAGGUGGUGUUUUAGUAAACACUCUCUUCACACACACUAAGAUUCUAGAAUAUUUAAUAUACUGGCAGUUAACAUAUUAACUCUCACUCAUACAAUUUUUUAGAGAGCUACAUUGUAGUAUGGUAGAAAAAACAUGUCAUCAUUCAGAAUCCUAGAUUUAAAUCCCGUUUUGACAAUCAGCUAGUUAUAUGACCUCAAGAAUUCAAUUAACCUCUUUUAGCCUUUCAUCUGUGCUGGGUCUAAUACCUACUUUGCAGGGUUGCUGUGAAGGCCCAACAGCAAUGUAACUAAUUGGCCAUGGAGCUAAUCCCAGUAUGUGUUCUAAAUAAAUGGACCUGAAACCUCUUGAACGUGAGGUCCCAUGUGUCCUCAUGUUCAAGAUCACAAUACUUCCAAGGACAUGUGGGCUUUUUCCAGUAGCAAAUAUGGACAUUAAG